rnacentral:rRNA from 1 species
AGCUCCAAUAGCGUAUAUUAAAGUUGUUGCAGUUAAAAAGCUCGUAGUUGGAUUUCAGUCUUAGCACGGCUGGCCCGCUCCCUUGAGGAGCCGAGUGCCGGUGUGUGCUGGACUUCCUUCUGGCAAGGAUCUUCUACCUCUAUGAGGCCGGGAGUGACUUCUGGAUCAUUUACUUUGAAGAAAUUAGAGUGUUCAAAGCAAGCUUACGCUGUGAAUAUAUUAGCAUGGAAUAAUAACAUAGGACUUGGGUUCUAUUUUGUUGGUUUUCUGAACAUCAAGUAAUGAUUGAUAGGGACAGUUGGGGGUGCUGCUAUUAUAUGGCCAGAGGUGAAAUUCACGGAUUCAUAUAAGAGCAACUUAUGCGAAAGCAUUCACCAAGGAUGUCUUCU